UACGUAGGGUGCGAGCGUUAAUCGGAAUUACUGGGCGUAAAGCGUGCGCAGGCGGUUUUGUAAGUCGGACGUGAAAUCCCUCAGCUUAACUGGGGAACUGCGUCCGAUACUGGAUGGCUUGAGUUUGGGAGAGGGAUGCGGAAUUCCAGGUGUAGCGGUGAAAUGCGUAGAUAUCUGGAGGAACACCGGUGGCGAAGGCGGCAUCCUGGACCAACACUGACACUGAGGAGCGAAAGCCAGGGGAGCAAACGGG
rnacentral:rRNA from 1 species